ensembl:lncRNA
GAUAUCAAAUAUUUACAAGAAUGUGAGGGGUGUACUCACUUUUGUGAGAUACUGUACAUACACUCACACACAUACAUACACAUACAUACACACAUUAUAUAUAUAUAUAUAUAUAAUAUAACAUGCAUACUCACACACAUACAUACUCGAAUGCACACAUACUCACUCACUCACACAUACAUACAUACAUACAUACAUACUCACGCAUACACAUACUCACACACAUACAUACAUAUAUACAUACUCACGCAUACACAUACUCACACACAUACAUACAUAUAUACAUACAUACUCACACACACACACAUACUCACACACACAUACAUACUCGAACGCACACAUACUCACACACACACAUACAUACUCACGCAUACACAUACUCACACACAUAUACAUACAUACAUACAUACAUACAUACAUACAUACAUACUCAGCCACACACAUACAUACUUGCGCACAUACUCAUACAUACAUGCAUACACACACACACACAUACAUACACCACACACACACACACACACACACUCACACACAUACAUACAUACUCACACAUACAUACAUACAUACAUACAUACAUACAUACAUACAUACUCACUCACUCUCUCACACGCAUACAGACAUACUCACACACGCACACAUACAUACGUACAUACGUACAUACUCACACUCUCUCUCUAAUUGGCCUCAAUCAUAUAUCUCCAGUUCAUCCUCUAAUAACUGAUUUUCAACAGAUAAGUCAUGUCUCUUAUCCAGUGGAAGAUUUGUGCAAUCAUAACAUAGACUUGAUAGAAUUCUUGAUGAAACUACACUAGAUGAAGCCAUGGGUGUAGACCAUUACGAAUAAUAACCAUCCAUAUUGUUGAAAUAAAUCUAAAAUAUAUAUUUUGAAAAAGCUCAGGAUGGGGGGUUUAUAUGCAUGACAUGUAUGGAUGCACAGUAUGGACAAUGUCUGUUGAAGUUAUAUUCACACAUGUUGCGAUACACAUUGCGAAACAUUACAAACAAA